GUGUCAGCAGCCGCGGUAAUACGGAGGGUGCGAGCGUUAAUCGGAAUUACUGGGCGUAAAGCGCACGUAGGCGGUCAUGUAAGUGGGAUGUGAAACCCCCGGGCUUAACCUGGGACUUGCAUACCAGACUGCAUGGCUAGAGUAUGAGAGAGGGUGGUGGAAUUUCCGGUGUAGCGGUGAAAUGCGUAGAGAUCGGAAGGAACAUCAGUGGCGAAGGCGGCCACCUGGCUUAAUACUGACGCUGAGGUGCGAAAGCGUGGGGAUCAAACAGGAUUAGAUACCCUGGUAGUCCACGCCGUAAACGAUGAGAACUAGCCGUUGGAUUCCUUAGAGGAUUUAGUGGCGCAGCUAACGCGAUAAGUUCUCCGCCUGGGGAGUACGGCCGCAAGGUUAAA
rnacentral:rRNA from 1 species